UCUAAUACUUCAUAAUAUCCAUCUCGUAUGGAUUAAAGCUUUAUGCGCUUUGGGAGGGGCCUGCGUAACAUUAGCUAGUUGGUGAGGUAAAAGCUCACCAAGGCUUCGAUGUUUAACUGGUUUGAGAGGAUGACCAGUCACACUGGGACUGAGAUACGGCCCAGACUCCUACGGGAGGCAGCAGUAAGGAAUCUUCCACAAUGGGGCAACCCUGAUGGAGCAAUACCGCGUGCAGGAUGAAGCGUUUCGGCGUGUAAACUGCUUUAUCACCGAAGAUUAUGACUGUAGGUGAAGAAUAAGGACCGGCUAACUACGUG
rnacentral:rRNA from 1 species